AUUGAACGCUGGCGGCAGGCUUAACACAUGCAAGUCGAACGAGCGGCGGACGGGUGAGUAAUGUCUGGGAAACUGCCUGAUGGAGGGGGAUAACUACUGGAAACGGUAGCUAAUACCGCAUACCAUCGGAUUUGCCCAGAUGGGAUUAGCUAGUAGGUGGGGUAAAGGCUCACCUAGGCGACGAUCCCUAGCUGGUCUGAGAGGAUGACCAGCCACACUGGAAAUGAGACACGGUCCAAACUCCUACGGUAGGCAGCAGGGGGGAAUAUUGCACAAUGGGGGCAAGCCUGAUGCAGCCAUGCGGCGGGUAUGAAGAAGGCCUUCGGGUUGUAAAGUACUUUCAGCGGGGAGGCGUUACCCGCAGAAGAAGCACCGGCUAACUCCGUGCCAGCAGCCGCGGUAAUUC
rnacentral:rRNA from 1 species